UCUCUUGUACUUAAGAAUUAAUCGAUGAAAUCGGAUUCCUCUUUACAGAGAGCUCCUUUUUCUCCUUCUACUUCUUUUUUUCUUUUUUUUUCUUACAAUGAUUUGCGUUGUGAUGCUCUUGUUUUCCGACAACAGUACCCUACCGAAGCUCUUCCCCUACCGUAGGAGAUUCCUUUGAAGUCUAUGAUCUGAGAUCUGAGAA
rnacentral:lncRNA from 1 species